AAAUACUUGGUAGACCAAAAAAACCACCAAUACAUAUUUUUUAUAUAUAAUAUCUAAAAAAAAAUGAAAAAGAUCCAAAUAUAUCUUUUAAGGAUUGGUUAAAAUCAAUGUCAAUAAGUUGGAGUAAAUUGUCAAAUGUAGAGAAGGAACCAUAUAUCAGUAAAACUAUGCAAUUACUGUCUCAGUACAAAGAAGAUUUAGACAAAUGGGAAAUGGAAAUGAUAAAUUCAGGUCAUUCUGAUGUUGUAAGACUUAAAACUUUAAUGAAAUAUAACAUUCAUAAAAAUGAACAUAAAAAUAAAUAUUAAAAUAUUCAUUU